rnacentral:sRNA from 1 species
CAUGCCCCUUAUACGCUGGGCUACACACGUGCUACAAUGGGUAGUACAGAGAGUCGCAAAGCCGCGAGGUGGAGCUAAUCUCAGAAAACUAUUCUUAGUUCGGAUUGUACUCUGCAACUCGAGUACAUGAAGUUGGAAUCGCUAGUAAUCGCGAAUCAGCAAUGUCGCGGUGAAUACGUCCUCGGGUCUUGUACACACCGCCCGUCACACCACGAGAGUUGGUUGCACCUGAAGUAGCAGGCCUAACCGUAAGGAGGGAUGCUCCGAGGGUGUGAUUAGCGAUUGGGGUGAAGUCGUAACAAGGUAUCCGUACGGGAACGUGCGGAUGGAUCACCUCCUUUCUAAGGAGAAUAAGUCUUUCUCUAUUCUAUUGGUAAUGUUCUUUACAUUACUUCUGAACAUUGGAAACUAUAUAGUAGAACAAACAAGAAAAAAAAUUAACUCUAACAAUUUCUUAGAGUUAGCUGUCAAAAAAAUAGGUUAAAAUAAUUAAGGGCACACAAAGGAUGCCUAGGUAGUAAGAGCCGAUGAAGGACGUGGUAAGCUGCGAUAAGCCUA